rnacentral:rRNA from 1 species
UGACAUCCAGAGAACUUUCCAGAGAUGGAUUGGUGCCUUCGGGAACUCUGAGACAGGUGUUGCAUGGCUGUCGUCAGCUCGUGUUGUGAAAUGUUGGGUUAAGUCCCGCAACGAGCGCAACCCUUAUCCUUGUUUGCCAGCGAGUAAUGUCGGGAACUCCAGGGAGACUGCCGGUGAUAAACCGGAGGAAGGUGGGGACGACGUCAAGUCAUCAUGGCCCUUACGAGUAGGGCUACACACGUGCUACAAUGGCGCAUACAGAGGGCGGCCAACUUGCGAGAGUGAGCGAAUCCCAAAAAGUGCGUCGUAGUCCGGAUCGGAGUCUGCAACUCGACUCCGUGAAGUCGGAAUCGCUAGUAAUCGUGGAUCAGAAUGCCACGGUGAAUACGUUCCCGGGCCUUGUACACACCGCCCGUCACACCAUGGGAGUGGGCUGCAAAAGAAGUAGGUAGUUAACCUUCGGGAGGAC